GGAAGGUGGGGAUGACGUCAAGUCAUCAUGCCCCUUAUGUCCAGGGCUUCACGCAUGCUACAAUGGCUGGUACAGAGAGUGGCGAGCCUGUGAGGGUGAGCGAAUCUCGGAAAGCCGGUCUCAGUUCGGAUUGGGGUCUGCAACUCGACCCCAUGAAGUCGGAGUCGCUAGUAAUCGCAGAUCAGCAACGCUGCGGUGAAUACGUUCCCGGGCCUUGUACACACCG
rnacentral:rRNA from 1 species